GGGUCAGUAGGUUGGUCGUGCCACCGGUACGUACUGGUCUCACUGAUUCCUCCUUCCUGAAGAACCGUAAUGCCAUUAAUUUGGUGUUGCGGGGAAACAGGACUGUUACUUUGAAAAAAUUAGAGUGUUUAAAGCAAGCUAACGCUUGAAUACAUUAGCAUGGAAUAAUGAAAUCGGACGAUCGAUCCCAUUUUGUUGGUUUCUAGGAUUGACGUA
rnacentral:rRNA from 1 species